rnacentral:misc_RNA from 1 species
GUGAAUCAUCAAAUUUUUGAACGCAAAUCGCACUCCCUGGUAUUCCGGGGAGUAUGCCUGUUUGAGGGUCGCUAGAACAAAAAUCGAAGCGUCGCUCUUUUUUUUUAAGGGUGAUCGUGUCGGAAUUGAGGCGUGUUUUUAAUUUUAAUUUAUGUCAAAGUGGUUUGAAAUUCAUCCAUCCGGUACGAUUAAAGAGUAUUUAAGAUUAACUUUGAUUAAGUACGCGCGAUGAAU